CGCUGGCUCACACGCGCACACACACGCGCUCACCCUCCUCUUCUCCCUUCCCGAGACGACUGAGGGAGGGGAUUUGUCCUUGGGGUGGGAGCGGGGGAAAGGGAGAGGGGGGAAAGGAGGGAGGGGUAAGUCGCACCACACAAAAACCCAGCAGCGAGGAGAAUGCUAAUCAAAGGGAAGCAGGCGAGGGAAAGAGAGAGGUGGGCUCAAAAAGCCUCGCCGCGAUUGAAGGGAGGAAAUUGCUUGUCGCCGAGAGAAGCCCACGCUGCCGCCCCUCGGCUCCCAGUCAGGCUUUUGUGACGGCCGGGAGCUUGUCUUAAACCACCCUGGAAAUGUUUACUUCAGAUUCAUAUUUUGAGGACAAGCCUAGUAGCAAUAAGUGGCAAGGAAUUUCAUGCAGGGAAGAGAGUGGACUGAUGGAGCAGUGACAGAAGACUCCAGUCCUCCUCUGCACUCAACACUGAAAACAAGCAGAGUGUCAGAAAUAUUGGGUAUCUGAAGAAGUGUGCAUGCAAACAAAAUCUCAUACCAAUAACAAACUUAGUCGGUCUCUAAGGUGCUACUGGAAGGGGAAAAAAUUUCCAACUAUGGCAGACCAACACGGUUACCUACCUGUAACUAGAAAUGGUGGGUUAAUUUCCUGACUUCAUUUGAUUUAGAGGUAAUCCCCACCCCACCACGGAAUGAAUAUUCAAUGUUUUAAUACUCAAAACUCAGCAUAGGAAGGAAAACCUAUCUACAAUUGGCUCACAUACAAAUUGAAUUGCUUCCUUCAGAAAUUUUUACAAAACAUGCUGGAUAAAAACCAAAACUUCAUAUUAGAAUGAAAUAUGAUUCACUAUGGAUAUAUUCAUGAAAUAUGCAUAUGUUGAAAUGCUGUCGUUGGAAAUGCUUGUGUUUAUUCAAAUCAUGUAGCUAUUUCCUACACACUAUUAAUUUCAACUAAAAUAGUAAGAAGUGAAACUUCUGCUUCCACAAGAAAACAUAUUCUGCCUCUCGCUUUCCUCCCCACUCAGUAGAUGGAAAGCAAGUAUUUAAUAGCUUUAGAGAGAGAAAGACGUAAAACCCUGAACAUCAUUUAAAAAAACAAACAACAUUUCACCAUUUUAAAAAUGACAGCUGAUAGAACUGGUAAUACAAAGGCAGACAGUCCUUUGAGACAGUCUCUGUGAAAAGGUGUGGAGAGGUGUUGCAGCAUAAAUUGCUUCAUCCCCACUACCAAAGAGUGUCACCCAAAUCCUUUCUCACAGUAACUGCACUCUCACUAUGACACAUACCAGUCUAGAUGCUACGAUAUGAAUUGUAGCAAAGUAGGUCAGGUUCCAAAAAUGAGGAUUAAAAUGUGGCUUAAGCCAGUGAUCUGAAGUGCAUAAUGUUUCAUUUUAGACAAGAAAAAAGAAAAACACAAACACAUUACUAAAAAAUAAUAAUAAAGGAGAGAAAAAAAUAGACCAAGCAUUGUCCAUGGUCAUCAAGAAUAUUAAACAUUGGUUGGAAAAGAAAAGCAGAAAGUUGGAGGUAUAGGAGUGUGAAUUGGUCUGCUUGAACCUCAAACAUCAUCAUGCCCUUUUAAAGUCGUAUACUGCUUUUCUACAUUAUUGCACUCAAUGUGGUUAACAAUCCAUGGAAAUGACGAAACAGAAAUCGUGCUCCCUGGUGACCCAGGUUUGCAGUGAAACAAAGUCCCCCCUCCACCUAUUUUAGCAGAGCCCCAACUUCAGGACUCCAAAGCACUAAAUCACUUAACGCCCUUGUAAUGUCAGGUGAGGGAUGCGGGUGGCACUGUGGGUUAAACCACAGAGCCUAGGGCUUGCCGAUCAGAAGGUCGGUGGUUUGAAUCCCCGCGACGGAGUGAGCUCCCGUUGCUCGGUCCCUGCUCCUGCCAACCUAGCAGUU
rnacentral:lncRNA from 1 species